rnacentral:rRNA from 1 species
ACGGGUGAGUAAUGCGUAAGAAUCUGCCCUUUAGUGAGGAAUACCCUCGAGAAAUUGAGGUUAAUACUGCAUACGUCUCUUACGAGAGAAAGGUGGCUUUAUGCUGCCGCUGAAGGAUGAGCUUGCGUGCUAUUAGCUAGUUGGUAGGGUAAAGGCCUACCAAGGCAAAGAUGGCUAACCGGCCUGAGAGGGUGUACGGUCACACUGGAACUGAGACACGGUCCAGACUCCUACGGGAGGCAGCAGUGAGGAAUAUUGCGCAAUGGGCGAAAGCCUGACGCAGCGACGCCGCGUGGAGGAUGAAGGUCUUUGGAUUGUAAACUUCUGUUGAGCGGGAAGAAAUGCCAGUUUUUAAUAGAGAUUGGCGAUGACGGUACCGCUAGAGAAAGCACCGGCUAACUUCGUGCCAGCAGCCGCGGUAAUACGAAGGGUGCGAGCGUUAUUCGGAGUGGCUGGGCGUAAAGGGUGUGUAGACGGUAUGUUAAGCUUGUUGUUAAAUUCUCCGGCCUAACUGGAGGCAAGCAGUGAGAACUGGCGUACUAGAGGAUGGAAGAGAGAAGUGGAAUUCCCGGA